rnacentral:tRNA from 1 species
GCCUGGGUGGCUCAGUCGGUUGAGUGUCUGACUUCAGCUCAGGUCAUGAUCUCACGGUUCUUGGGUUCGAGCCCCGGGUCGGGCU